GGCCCUACGGUGUAGUGGUAUACACUGCUGCUUCUAAUUGCCUUGCUCAUGGUCGUUCUGAGCAGCAAGCUUGGGUUUGACACCCAAUAGGGCCU